UCCCUGAGACCCUAACUUGUGAUGCAAUCCUGUCACAGGUUAGUCUCUCAGGUCCU
rnacentral:pre_miRNA from 1 species